rnacentral:rRNA from 1 species
GACGAACGCUGGCGGCGUACUUAACACAUGCAAGUCGAACGGAAAGGCCCUGCUUUUGUGGGGUGCUCGAGUGGCGAACGGGUGAGUAACACGUGAGUAACCUGCCCUUGACUUUGGGAUAACUUCAGGAAACUGGGGCUAAUACCGGAUAGGAGCUCCUGCUGCAUGGUGGGGGUUGGAAAGUUUCGGCGGUUGGGGAUGGACUCGCGGCUUAUCAGCUUGUUGGUGGGGUAGUGGCUUACCAAGGCUUUGACGGGUAGCCGGCCUGAGAGGGUGACCGGCGAAGGGGCGAGAGAGGUCCGGACCCUGGUGGUGCGGGAGGGAGGGGUGGGGAAUGGUGCACAGGGUGCGGAGGGCGCGUGCAAGCACGAGGCGUGCUGGCGAACGGCGUUGGGGGUGGAGACCGCUGUGGUAGAUGAGAAAGGGAGAAUGAUGAUAAUGAGUAAAGAAGCACCGUGAAACUACGUGCCAGCAGCAGCGGUAAUAGAGGAAGAGAAGACGUCUGAAC